GACAGAGGGUGCAAACGUUGUUCGGAAUUACUGGGCGUAAAGCGUGUGUAGGCGGCUUUGCAAGUCGGAUGUGAAAUCCCCGGGCUCAACCCGGGAAGUGCACCCGAAACUGCAGGGCUCGAGUACCGGAGAGGUUGGUGGAAUUCUCGGUGUAGAGGUGAAAUUCGUAGAUAUCGAGAGGAACACCGGUGGCGAAGGCGGCCAACUGGACGAGUACUGACGCUGAGACACGAAAGCGUGGGGAGCAAACAGG
rnacentral:ncRNA from 2 species